GGGUUUUCAACAGGAUUGGCUUUGUUAUCUCUAUCUUUAGACUUUUAUCACUUUCCCUAACCCUAACAUGGUAUCAGAUGCAUACCUAAUUCACUAAAAGCCCUUCUUCAAGAAAAAGCCCUAACCCAUUUUCAAGAAACUGCUCUAACCCAUUUUCAAGAAACCCUUGCACGCUCUCUCUUCUUUCUGUGUGAUGGCACGCGACGAACCCAGACCAGAAGCUCUUCGGUGCCUCUUCUAGCUACGCCUCGCUGCCCUCAUCGACGCCUCCUCCAUCCUCAUCACCUGCUCCGGCAACUGCACCCUUUCCUCCUCCUCUCCCUCAGUCGGAAGCUGCUCCUCACGGUAUGGCUUAUUCUUCUCUCCCUCACGAAGGGGUUGGUCAGUCGCUGCACUCGUCCUCAUCCCCGAUCCACCAUACCUUCUCCUCGCCUGCCAUCAACCUGAGCUUAAAUGCUCCUACUGCCGGCGUUAAUGGUGGCAUGGGUGUCAAUAUUGUCUCUGCUACAAAUCGGUAUCAACCUUCCCAACUUGAUCAUACAUAUCAUUUGGAGACAAUCCUAACUUUCUCAUUGUUCCUAAAGUCUUAAUAGGUCAAGACAAUUUUUCAAUCUUGGAAAAGACCUGUCUCCAUCUCUAUUGCUGCCAAGAACAAAACCCCGUUCAUUGAUGGCUCUCUGUCCCGACCACCUCCAUCAAAUCCGAACUUGAACUUUGAUUCUUGGAUGCAAUGUAACAACAUGGUCAUAGCUUGGUUAUUGCAAUCUAUCUCUCAAGAAAUUGCAGCCAGGAGUAUGUUUUAAGAUUCAGCCAGAGAUAUGUGGCAUGAUCUUCAUGAGCGGGUCAAUUAAGGAAAUGGUCUUAGGAUUUUUCAACACCAAACUUCAAUGCACAACAUCAAACAAGGAGACUCGGACGUGAACACCUACUUUACUAGGUUGAAGGCUGUGGGAUGAGCUCAAAGAGUUUCAACCGAUUGUUCCGUGCACUUGUAGCUGUACUUGAGAAGCUAUUGAAAGACUCCUUGGAUAUUACACUAGAGAUCAAAUUCUUCAGUUUCUCACUGGCCUCAAUGACUCCUAUAUUCCUAUAAGGGCUCAGAACUUGCUCUAUGAUCCCCUUCCACCUUUGUCAAAGGUGUUCUCAAUGAUAGUUCAAGAAAAGCGACAACGCUGCCUUGGUAACCCGACCUCUCUCAUUGUUGUUGCUUCUGUCCCUACUCACUUGGCCAAGCCUCCACUGUCCAGAUCAAAGAAGCCGAGACCCCGUGCUCUCAUUGCCUCAACCCCGGCCACCUAGUGGAAAAAUAGUUCUUUCUUCAUGUUUUUCCACCCGGGUAUGGUGACAAACGACAUCAACAGGAAGCAUCCAAGCCUACAGUUCAUCAAGCUUCAGCUUCCCCUGCCUUUGCACCUCUCUUGGGCAAACAGCCACUAUCUUCUCAAACCGAGCUCAGCCAACAACUCAUUUCUCUCCUAAGUCAGCAACUUCACAACACUUCUUCCACUAGUGAUACUCAACCACCUCUCAAAUUUCUAAUAAUCCUGUUGAAUUCCCCUCUAUUUAUGGAUAGUGGACAGUGGGGAAACUCACCAUGUGUGUCACUCACUUUAGUAUUUUACUACUAUUGAUCAUCAUCCUAUUGCUAACUUAGUUACUUUACCUAAUGGGCAUAACAUUCGCAUUACUCAUUCAGGCUCAAUUAGGCUUAAUAGUACUAUCAUUUUGACUAGUGUAUUAUUCAUACCUGAUUUUAAAUUCAAUUUGUGUUUCAGUUAAUGCUUUUUUGCAAAAUAAUCUUAACUCUCUAAUUUUUACAUCUUCUGAAUGCUUUAUUCAGACACCUACUCGGACUUCCAAGAUUGGGAUUGCUAAGAAAAUUGGCAAGCUAUUCUUCUUUGAGCAAGGUAGAUGUUGGGUACAAUCUGAUUUAGCUAUUCACUCUUGUACUGAAAUGGACCAAUGGCAUUGUUGCCUUGGCCAUCCCUCUAUGUCAAUCUUAAAAUCUAUCAAUAAAACUCUUAUUUUCUAACAAACUCACGAUAACAUGUGUUCUAUUUGUCAUUUGGCUAAACAAAAACGUCUUCCUUUUGUGUCAUAAUAAUAUGGCAUCUGCUCCUUUUGAUUUGGUGCAUUUAGAUAUUUGGGGACCAUUUCAUGUUCCAAGUAUAGAAGAGUACAAAUAUUUUCUUACCAUUGUAGAUGAUCACACUCGGUUCACGUGGGUAUAUAUGCUUCAAGCAAAGUCAGAUGUGCAAGUUAUUGUUCCACAAUUCUUUUCUUUAAUUGCUACUCAAUUUUCUAGUGAUAAUGCUAAAUAGGUGAAUCUUACUUCUUUCUAUGUCACUAAAGGUAUUGAACAAUUUCAUUCAUGUGUUGAUAGACUACAACAAAAUUAUUUCAAUCUCACAUCUCUCUUCCAUAUUGGUCUUACCUCAUUAAUAAAGAUGUUUACCUCAUUAAUAUAACUGCUUCUCUUUUACUGAAAAAGAAAACAACAUUUGAGUUAUUUUACAACAAAUUGCCUUCAUAUGAUCAUCUUAGAUGCUUUGGCUGUCUUACAUGUGCUUCAACAUUAGAUAAGACUAAUCAUAAAUUUUCUCCAAGGUCUAAAGCUUGUAUCUUUAUUGGUUAUCCUCAUGAAAUGAAAGCCUAUAUUUUACUUGAUAUUGAAAGUCAACAAAUAUUUCAUUCUAGAGAUGUAAUUUUCUAUGAAAAAAUAUUUCUUUAAAACAUGACAAGUCUAAUGUUUCGACUGAUCAGUUAUUGUUGUCUAAGGUGUUUCUUGCAGGGACUAAUACUUCUCCCUAUUCUCCUGCUCCAAAGGAGUCUCACACUGUGUCACAACCAGCCACUACCUCAAAAAGUGGCAGAUCUGUUACUUGCCCCUCUUAUUUUAGAGACUAUGUUUGUAACUUGUAAAUAUCUGAUUCUACCACUGCUCACCCCUUAUCUAAUUUUCUAUCUUAUGAUAGGUUAAGUGAUCAUUUUUGGGCUGCCAUUCUUUUCGCAAACAUUGUGGUAGAACCGACUAGUUACAAGCAAGUUUUAACCAUUCCUGAGUGGCAACAAGCAAUGAAAGAUGAACUUCAUGCGCUUGACAAUAACAAAACAUGGCAGAUUGCCUCUCUUCCUCCAGGACAGCACACUAUAGGAAGCAAAUGGCUCUACAAGAUCAAAUACAAAGCAAAUGGAUUCAUUGAUCAAUACAAAGCAAGAUUAGUGGCUAAAGGCUACACUUAAAAGCAAGGUUACUUAGGUGCCAAAGUUUCCUCCACUCCAAUGGAGCCUAACACAAAACUCAACAAAGAUGAUGGGGACCUCUUACAGGAUUCAACCAUGUAUAGAAGCCUAAUUAGUAAAUUAAUUUAUUUAACAAUUACUCGUCCUGACAAUUCGUAUGCUAUCAUUAAGCUAAGUCAAUGCUUAACUACUCCUCGGACUCCUCAUCUUCAUGCGGUGCACCGUAUCCUUCAAUACCUUAAAGGAUCGUCAGGCCAAGGCCUCUUUUUUUACUCUAAAUCUCCACCUGACCUUAAUGCAUAUGCUGAAUCUAACUUUACUGGCGCAAAUUUAUCUCUUAAAAAAAUUUCAGAUGCAGAUUGGGCUUCGUGUAGUGAUACCAGACGAUCAGUUUCCGAUUUUUGUGUCUUCAUUGGCAAAUCACUCAUAUCUUGGAAGUCCAAGAAGCAAGAAACGGUCUCUCAUUCUUCAACUGAAGCAAAAUACCGAGCUAUGGCCAAUGCAACGUGUGAGAUUACUUGGUUGCUGUCUUUGCUGAAAGAUUUCGACAUUCAUCACUCCCAACUAGCCAUCCUUUAUUGUGAUAACACGACUUCUAUUCACAUCUCAAAAAAUCCUAUCUUCCAUGAAAGAUCAAAGCACAUUGAGAUCGACUGUCACCUUGUUCAUGAAAGAAUUCAAGAUGGUUCUCUCAAACUCAUUCAUGUUCCUUCCAAAAGCAACCUCGCUGAUGUCCUCACAAAACCCUUGUUCCCAGCUCAGUUCAAAGAGUUAGUGUCCAAGAUAAAUGUCAAAAAUCUGUACAUUUCAUCUUGCGGGGGUGUAUUAGAAAAAUAACAAAUAUUAGAAGUUGUUAUAUUUUAGAGACUAGAGUUGGUUAUAACCAUCUUGUGCUCUUUGGGCCUAUAUAUACUGCCCCUAACUAAUGUGUUCAAGAGUUUUGGGUUUUCAAUAAAAUUAGCUUUGUUUUCCCUCUUUA